rnacentral:rRNA from 1 species
CUUAACACAUGCAAGUCGAACGCGAAAGGGACUUCGGUCCCGAGUAGAGUGGCGCACGGGUGAGUAACGCGUAAGUAAUCUACCCCUGUAUCUGGAAUAACCCACCGAAAGGUGAGCUAAUACCGGAUACGUUAGGUCUUGAUGCGAAUGAUGAUAAAGAAAGGUGGCCUCUUCAUGAAAGCUACCGUACAGGGACGAGCUUGCGUACCAUUAGCUGGUUGGUAGGGUAAUGGCCUACCAAGGCGACGAUGGUUAGCGGGUCUGAGAGGAUGAUCCGCCACACUGGAACUGAAACACGGACCAGACUCCUACGGGAGGCAGCAGCGAGGAAUAUUGCGCAAUGGGGGCAACCCUGACGCAGCGACGCCGCGUGGACGAUGAAGGCCCUUGGGUCGUAAAAUCCUGUCAGAUGGAAUGAAAUGUACAGGUGUUAAUAUCGCCUGUAUUUGACGGUACCAUCAAAGGAAGCACCGGCUAACUCCGUGCCAGCAGCCGCGGUAAUACGGAGGGUGCGAGCGUUGUUCGGAAUUACU